rnacentral:rRNA from 1 species
GGGCCCGCACAAGCGGUGGAGCAUGUGGUUUAAUUCGUUACUAACCGAAGAACCUUACCCAGGUUUGACAUCCCCGGACACCCUAUGAAAGUAGGUCUUCUCCCCCAAAAGGGGAGACCGGGUGACAGGUGUUGCAUGGCUGUCGUCAGCUCGUGUCGUGAGAUGUUGGGUUAAGUCCCGCAACGAGCGCAACCCUCAUCGCAUGUUGCCAGCGUAAAGCCGGGCACUCUUGCGAAACUGCCCGUCUAAGCGGGAGGAAGGUGGGGAUGACGUCAAGUCGGCAUGGCCCUUACGCCUGGGGCUACACACAUGCUACAAUGGCCGGUAACAGAGGGCAGCAAUACCGCGAGGUGGAGCAAAUCCCAAAAAUCCGGUCUCAGUUCGGAUUGCAGUCUGCAACUCGACUGCAUGAAGGCGGAAUCGCUAGUAACCGCAGGUCAGCUAUACUGCGGUGAAUACGUUCCCGGGCCUU